rnacentral:lncRNA from 1 species
GUCACAUAGGGUGUGAUAUGAAAUUUGGCUUGCAGACCGACUUAGUUAAAGUCCUGGGUCACCUAUUCUGACUGGAGGUCAAUUGCAAGUCUUUCAAGUCAUGGGUCACCCAGCACCUCGAUGUGACAAAUUAGAUUUGUCCAAAUUCUUUUCCAAAAAUACAAAAAAAUGGAUCCGAUUCAGCCCCGAACCCGAUCCGAUUCGGACCC